ensembl:lncRNA
GAUCAGGAGACCCCUCAUUCAAUGCAGGUGGGGCAGAGCCCCACAUCUUUUGCAAUACAUGUAUUUCUUAAGGCAGCUCCCAAAUGCAGGUGAUUCAGCCUAGCUAGUGCUUUCGGUGAAGCGAGCCAGCAAAAUAGGAGCAUUGCGCCGUGAUUGGCUCAGUGUUUUGUCACUCAUGGACACUACGUCAUUGCUAAAUUUAAGCCUUAGUAAGGUUAGACAUCCAAAAUGUCAGCCCUUUGUGUCCUGCUAUAUAGUUAUAUUACAAGUGCUUCCAAGAAGGCUCUGUCAUUGGCCACACAACGUGAUUUUAUCUACAGUAGCUUGAACUGAUCAUGUUAGCUAGCAGUCAUGAAUCAUAUUGACAAUCUACUGGCAAAUCCUUUCAAUUGUCAUAUGAAGAGGCAUCGCAAAUUCAACAAUGAGGAGUUUGGAAGGAAUCCGUGGCUAACUGAAAGCGUUGCAAAGCAACAAAUAGCCUGCUAUUCAAUGGCGUGGCUGUUUUUGAGUUCCCACCAUGGCAUUCUCUGGAUUUAGACUUUGACAAAAUUUGCUGACAAAGGACUGCCACGCCACCUUCAUGUUUAAGUGCGCACAUCAAAAGCCAAGGUGAGUCCAAAAAAUGUAUUGUUUGCUACUACAUAAAUAGUCAUACUUAGCUACAGUAUACAUAAGUGUGUAAACUGUUAGUAGUCUAUUUAUUUUUAUUUAUUUAUUUUAUUUAACCUUUUUUUUUUUUUUUUUUUUAACCAGGUAGGCAAGUUGAGAACAAGUUCUCAUUUACAAUUGCGACCUGGCCAAGAUAAAGCAAAGCAGUUCGACAGAUACAACGACACAGAGUUACACAUGGAGUAAAACAAACAUACAGUCAAUAAUACAGUAUAAACAAGUCUAUAUACAAUGUGAGCAAAUGAGGUGAGAAGGGAGGUAAAGGCAAAAAAGGCCAUGGUGGCAAAGUAAAUACAAUAUAGCAAGUAAAACACUGGAAUGGUAGUUUUGCAAUGGAAGAAUGUG